GUAGGUGGGUUUGUAAGUCAGAUGUGAAAGCCUUCUGUUCAACGGAAGAAUUGCAUCUGAAACUACUGAUCUUGAGUAUAGGAGGGGAGAAUGGAACUUCUGGUGGAGCGGUGAAAUGCGUAGAUAUCAGAAGGAACGCCGGCGGCGAAAGCGAUUCUCUGGCCUAUUACUGACACUCAGUGUGCGAAAGCUAGGGGAGCAAACGGGAUUAGAUACCCCGGUAGUCCUAGCCGUAAACGAUGGGCACUAAGUAG
rnacentral:rRNA from 1 species